GACGAACGCUGGCGGCGUGCCUAAUACAUGCAAGUAGAACGCUGAAGGAGGAGCUUGCUCUUCUGGAUGAGUUGCGAACGGGUGAGUAACGCGUAGGUAACCUGCCUGGUAGCGGGGGAUAACUAUUGGAAACGAUAGCUAAUACCGCAUAACAUUGACUAUUGCAUGAUAGUCAAUUAAAAGGUGCAAAUGCACCACUACCAGAUGGACCUGCGUUGUAUUAGCUAGUUGGUGGGGUAACGGCUCACCAAGGCGACGAUACAUAGCCGAGCUGAGAGGGUGGACGGGCACCCUGGGACUGGAGCACGGCCCAAGACUCUUCGGGAGGGAGCCAUAGGGGAUCUUUGGAAAUGGAGGGAAGUCUGACCGAGCAACGGCGGGGUAGUGAAGAAGGGUCUCGGGUCGGAAAGCUCGGUUGUAAGAGAAGAACGGGUGUGAGGGUGGAACGUUCACACUGUGACGGUAUCUUACGAGAAAGCGCCGGCUAACUACGUG
rnacentral:rRNA from 1 species